UGGGGAAUUUUGGACAAUGGGCGAAGCCUGAUCCAGCAAUGCCGCGUGUGUGAAGAAGGCCUUCGGGUUGUAAACACUUUUGUCCGGGAAAGAAAUCCUUGGCUCUAAUACAGUCGGGGGAUGACGGUACCGGAAGAAUAAGCACCGGCUAACUACGUGCCAGCAGCCGCGGUAAUACGUAGGGUGCAAGCGUUAAUCGGAAUUACUGGGCGUAAAGCGUGCGCAGGCGGUUUGCUAAGACCGAUGUGAAAUCCCCGGGCUCAACCUGGGGAACUGCAUUGGUGACUGGCAGGCUAGAGUAUGGCAAGAGGGGGGUAGAAUUCCACGUGUAGCAGUGAAAUGCGUAGAGAUGUGGAGGAAUACCGAUGGCGAAGGCAGCCCCCUGGGCCAAUACUGACGCUCAUGCACGAAAAGCGUGGGGGA
rnacentral:rRNA from 1 species